AGACUGUCUGAUCAUUAUGAUGCCUAAAUAAUAGGAAAUGAAGCUUUAGAAUAUGGAACUGUCGAGAUGGUAAUCAUGAAGCUAUAGUGAAGAACAUACAUGAACUGUUAGUUAAGUUAGCCUGGGACUUCUCUCCCAACCAGUUGGACCACUUGUUUGGCUGCUUUCAGAAGAGCUGGGUAGGAGCUAGCAAGAAGCAAAGAGAUGAACUGUUGGAUUUCAUAAGACGCUUAGCAGAGGAUGACAAAGAAGGAAUAAUGGCCAGUAAAGUGCUGGAGCUCAAAAACUGAUUUAUUAUUUUUUGUUGAAAAUCUCAUAAGUGCCAUUACUAGUUCUGCUCGUUCCUGUCCCUCAGUUAUGAAGAGAAUAAUUCAUUUAUUACAAACACUAUCAGUCAAACAAUUUCCUGAGUUUGAAGAUAAAGUGCAGUUCAAUUCGAUUAGUGGGUUUAUCUUUUUGAGGUUUUUUGCUUCAGCCAUUUUGAAUCCAAAGUUAUUCGGACUACGACCCGAGAAUCCAAAUCAUACUGUCUCAAGGACUUUACUUCUCAUUUCUAAACUAUUCAAAAUUUAGGAAAUGUCGGAGCAAGAGUAAAAUAAUAAUCUGAGAGAGAGAGUGAGAGAGAUAAAGAUAUGUGUAUUAUUUAUUUACAUGUUUACUUCAUUUUUUCUUGAUGAAAGAGUCAACGUAUUUCAUUCCA
rnacentral:lncRNA from 1 species